rnacentral:rRNA from 1 species
UAGGGAAUCUUCCACAAUGGACGCAAGUCUGAUGGAGCAACGCCGCGUGAGUGAAGAAGGUUUUCGGAUCGUAAAGCUCUGUUGUUGGUGAAGAAGGAUAGAGGUAGUAACUGGCCUUUAUUUGACGGUAAUCAACCAGAAAGUCACGGCUAACUACGUGCCAGCAGCCGCGGUAAUACGUAGGUGGCAAGCGUUGUCCGGAUUUAUUGGGCGUAAAGCGAGCGCAGGCGGAAGAAUAAGUCUGAUGUGAAAGCCCUCGGCUUAACCGGGGAACUGCAUCGGAAACUGUUUUUCUUGAGUGCAGAAGAGGAAAGUGGGACUCAAUGUGUAGCGGUGGAAUGCGUAGAUAUAUGGAAGAACACCAGUGGCGAGGGCGACUCUCUGGUCUGCAACUGACGCUGAGGCUCGAAAGCAUGGGUAGCGAACAGG